rnacentral:tRNA from 1 species
GGGACUCAGCUGGUUAGAGCGUUCGGUUUACAUCCGAAAGGUCGGGGAGCCUGUCCUGAACUUGAUUCAGGAUUCGAUUCCCUGCUUACCCU